UUCUCACAUGGCGACAGGAAAGACUAGUAAUUAUUAAGAACUUGGUAUUUCAAUUGCCCUACUCUUGGUACCAUCAAACUGUCUUUCCUGCCGUCCAGUCUUUAAAGAUGGGUAGUUUGCUAACUCCUCCUCCUUCCAUAUGCUUUACUCGAGCGAAAACGGCGACGAGGAGCCAGGCAGCCCGGCCGUCAGGCAGACUCGUAGAGAGAGACACAGAGAGAAGAGAGCAGAGACCUCACUCACCUGGGAAGGUUCCUACAAUUUUGAUUCGUCCGACAUGCCUGUCUUAGGCUAAAGGCUUUUAUUGGGAUCCCUGGUCUACGUCAUCCUCUUGAGAAAAUUCUGCCAAAAUCCAUCUGCAACGCCUUUGUGCAUGGUUCGACAAUGGUGAUUUAGCUCUCGGACUAGUAACUCUAGCUUAUUCAUAAAUUCACCUUGUUAACGCUUGGGAUGGUGUUUGGUUUCGGUGUAUCGGCCCUUUUAUUUCCUUCCUGAUACUAAUGUAAACCUCAGUUGCUCAAUUGUAAGGUAAUUUUAAGUGGGUUAUUAUUCCUAUGGGUAUAUUUUUCUACAUAAAUGACCAUGACUUUUAGAUACUAAUCUUCCUGAAUAUUUCUUUACAGACAGCGAGCGAAGCAGAACGAAGGAAACGCCUUACGAUCUACGUGAAUUGCCUUGUUCUCUUACCAGUUGUUUAUAACUACGGUACUACGUCAUUUUAAAGGCUUAUUUAUGUAAUAAAUAUCAUAUUCAAUUACAUUUUUCCUUCUAACCUUUAUUUCAAAACACAGAUUUUUAUGGUGUUCUGCUUAUGGCGCCCAACGUGGGGCAACACGAAGAAAGGUGCUUAAUGAUGGUGCAGAUAAUCCAGUAGAGAAUUGACCACGACUGGGGCUCCCAAUAGUCUCUCAUAUUUCUAUUUGUAGGACAUUGAUAUUUUCCUUUCCAGGAUAUUAGCAUUUUAUUGAAAUAAAUAUAAUUUUCCUUUUCAGAAAAUUAACAUUUUAUUGGUUUGCAUUUGUUAUACUUUUGUUAUAAUGGCUAACUUACAGGUACUGAUCGGACAACGAAAAGUCAUUCGGAGAAAAGUCACCGAACAAUUCAAUAGGUCUGACACCUAUUCUGCCCUUACACAAGAAGAAAAGUUAGCUAUUAAAGGUCUUCUUGUUAAUUAUAGAAACAAGUUGUCAGAGCUAGAUGAUAAAAUCCUCUUGAAGAAAUUUCCUGACAUAUGUGAUGAAGCAGAGUUAGAGCCAGAAUUAACAAGUUGCCAGGAUUAUCUAGACAAAAUUGAGCAUUGUCUACCAUUACUUGAGAUUUCAAGGAGUAAGAAUGAUUCUAAUAAUAUUCCCGACGUGGCCCGCAGUUUAUUGAAACAGCCAACAGCUCCUCUUCCUAAGUUUACUAGCAAAGAAGGAGAAGAUUUCUUGAAAUUUAUAGCAGAGUUUGAGGCUACAACUAAUGCAUUUCAGUAUUCAGACAGAGAUUUACUUUUAUUGCUGAAGCAACAGGUAGACGGUCGAGCAAAGACUUUAUUAAGUUCUCUGGAAGCUGAUAAACAGCGUUAUGUAGAUGCCAAAGAACUAUUGAUUUCCGCCUUUGCUUCUAAGGAGGUUUGUAAAAACAAUGCAAUUAAGAAAAUUACGGAGUUAAGUCUAAGAGAGGGUGAUGAUCCCUUCAUAUUUAUUUCCAUCCUCCGAUCAGUAUGCGAAGCAGUCAAGACUUUUAACAUUGAAGCGGAUGAAUUUGUCAGAUAUUUUGCUUGGCACGGCUUAAAUGGUCGCUUUCAGCGUCAUCUUAUUAAUAUUACAGGAAAGACUCAUCCUUCCUUAAAUGACAUUAUUUCACAUUUCUUUGCAGCUUGCGAAAGGUACGAAAGUGACGGGAAAGGUGUUGAAAGCUUGAAGUGUAAAGCUU